rnacentral:rRNA from 1 species
AAUAGAUACCCUGGUAGUCCUGGCCUUAAACGAUGAUCACUAGGUGUAGGAGGCUUCGACCCCUUCUGCGCCGCCGCUAACGCAUUAAGUGAUCCGCCUGGGGAGUACGGCCGCAAGGUUAAAACUCAAAGGAAUUGACGGGGACCCGCACAAGCGGUGGAGCAUGUGGUUUAAUUCGACGCAACGCGAAGAACCUUACCUGGGCUAGAAUGCCUCUGACAACCCUAGAGAUAGGGCCUUCUGGGUAAAACCAGACGGAGUGCAAGGUGCUGCAUGGCUGUCGUCAGCUCGUGUCGUGAGAUGUUGGGUUAAGUCCCGCAACGAGCGCAACCCUUGUCAGUAGUUGCCAGCGGUUCGGCCGGGCACUCUACUGAGACUGCCGUUGAUAAAACGGAGGAAGGUGGGGAUGACGUCAAGUCCUCAUGGCCUUUAUGUCCAGGGCUACACACGUGCUACAAUGGCAGGUACAAACCGCUGCAAACUCGCAAGAGGGAGCCAAUCGGAAAAAGCCUGUCUCAGUUCGGA